rnacentral:rRNA from 1 species
AUUGAACGCUGGCGGCAUGCCUUACACAUGCAAGUCGAACGGUAACAGGUCUUCGGAUGCUGACGAGUGGCGAACGGGUGAGUAAUACAUCGGAACGUGCCUAGUAGUGGGGGAUAACUACUCGAAAGAGUGGCUAAUACCGCAUGAGAUCUACGGAUGAAAGCAGGGGAUCGCAAGACCUUGUGCUACUAGAGCGGCCGAUGGCAGAUUAGGUAGUUGGUGGGAUAAAAGCUUACCAAGCCGACGAUCUGUAGCUGGUCUGAGAGGACGAUCAGCAAAAGUGGGACAGGAACACGGCCCGAACACACACGGGGGGAGGCAGUGGGGGAUUUUGGAAAAGGGGCCAAGGGCUGAUCCAGCAAUGGCGGUGGCAGGAUAAAGGCCUUUGGGUUGUAAACUGUUUUUUUGCGGACCGAAAACCCCGGGGUUAAUCCCCUGGGGUCAUGACGGUACCGUAAGAAAAAGCACCGGCAAACUACGGCCCACCCGCCGCCGUAA